rnacentral:rRNA from 1 species
CGCCAUUAGAGCGGCCCGCGUCUGAUUAGCUAGUUGGUGAGGUAAAGGCUCACCAAGGCGACGAUCAGUAGCUGGUCUGAGAGGAUGAUCAGCCACAUUGGGACUGAGACACGGCCCAAACUCCUACGGGAGGCAGCAGUGGGGAAUCUUGCGCAAUGGGCGAAAGCCUGACGCAGCCAUGCCGCGUGAAUGAUGAAGGUCUUAGGAUUGUAAAAUUCUUUCACCGGGGACGAUAAUGACGGUACCCGGAGAAGAAGCCCCGGCUAACUUCGUGCCAGCAGCCGCGGUAAUACGAAGGGGGCUAGCGUUGCUCGGAAUUACUGGGCGUAAAGGGAGCGUAGGCGGACAUUUAAGUCAGGGGUGAAAUCCCGGGGCUCAACCUCGGAAUUGCCUUUGAUACUGGGUGUCUUGAGUAUGAGAGAGGUGUGUGGAACUCCGAGUGUAGAGGUGAAAUUCGUAGAUAUUCGGAAGAACACCAGUGGCGAAGGCGACACACUGGCUCAUUACUGACGCUGAGGCUCGAAAGCGUGGGGAGCAAACAGGAUUAGAUACCCUGGUAGUCCACGCCGUAAACGAUGAUUGCUAGUUGUCGGGAUGCAU